AGAGAUUUAGGUUAAGCACCAGACCAAGGGCCUUCAAAGCCCUAAGCAAGUAGUUUACUUAAUCUCUG
rnacentral:tRNA from 1 species